GGUCAAGUGAGGGAGGGCACGUAGGGGGAUGCCUGGGCACACGGAGGCGAGGAAGGCCGCGGUAAGCUGCGAUAAGCCGGGGGGAGGGGCACACACCCAGUGAUCCCCGGGUGGCCGAAUGGGGCAACCCGGCCGCCUGUUGAGGGCGGUCAUCCGGUUUUCGGACCGGAGGCGAACCUCGGGAACUGAAACAUCUCAGUACCGAGAGGAAGAGGAAGAAAUCUCGAGGCCCGGAGUAGCGGCGAGCGGAACGGGCCGAUUGCCUAAACCGGGUGGCUAGUCCACCCGGGGUUGAAGGACCCGCGGACGCGGGGGGAGAAGUCACGCGAAGUCCCCUGGGACGGGGCGCCCGAGACGGUGAGAGCCCGGUAGCGGAAGGCGACGGACCCCCUGUAGCGGUGUUCCUGAGUAGCGCCCGACUCGAGAAAUCGGGCGUGAAGCCGGGGGGACCACCCCCCAAGGCGAGAAUACUCCCGUGUGACCGAUAGCGGACGAGUACCGUGAGGGACAGGUGAAAAGCACCCCUGGGCGGGGAGUGAAAGAGUGCCUGAAACCACGUGCCCACAAGCGGUGGGAGGCUGGGGCGGGGCGCGAGCCUCGUUCACGGCUGACCGCGUGCCUUUUGCAUUAUGAUCCGGCGAGUUGCUGCUCGCGAGCGAGCUUAAGGGGGUCUCCCCCGGAGGCGCAGCGAAAGCGAGUCCUGGAACGAGGGCGUUCUGGAGUUCGCGGGCGCAGACCCGAAGCCAGGGCGAUCUACCCAUGGGCAGGGUGAAGCUGGGGUAACACCUAGUGGAGGCCCGAACCGGUGUGGGUUGAAAACCGCUCGGAUGACCUGUGGGUAGGGGUGAAAGGCCAAUCAAGCCUGGAGAUAGCUGGUUCUCCCCGAAAUCUAUUGAGGUAGGGCCUCGGGGCGUGCUGGGCGGGGGUAGAGCGACUGGAUGGGCGCGGGGGCCGUUGAGGCCUACCAACCCCAACCAAACUCCGAAUACCGCGCCAGUGGACCCCGGGAGGCAGUCGCCGAGCGAUAAUGUCCGGCGGCGAGAGGGAAAGAACCCGGAGCCGCAGCUAAGGCCCCGAAGUGGCCGCUGAGUAUAGCGAAGGAUGUGCGCGUGCCGUGACAACCGGGAGGUUGGCUUAGAAGCAGCCACUCCUUUAAAGAGUGCGUAAUAGCUCACCGGUCCAG
rnacentral:rRNA from 1 species